UGAGAAUAAAGAAACAGGUGAGGAAGGCUGCUGGGGAGGUGGGUGGGGCUCACAGGUGCCGUCCGGGUUCAGGGGAGGCUCCUGGAGGUGGGUGGGGCCAGCAGGUGCCAUCCAGGCCCUGGGGAAGCUCUCCAGUCAGCCCCUAGGGAGGACGAGAGGGCACUGCUGUGGGUCAGUGUGAGGGCCCUGGGGGCUGUACUGCCAGGAUGGAUCGGGCACGGAUCCUUCUGGGAGCUGGUUCGGCUGUUGGAAGGUGUGCCUCCUGGGGCUCGACGCCGCAGACAUCACAGGCCAUAUUGAAGACUGAGCCCAGAGAAGAAGGGGCAGAAUUGGAAUUUCGUUUUAUAAAGCUGCUUCCGGCUCCGUGUGAACACAUGGAAGAAGGGGCCAGACGUAUGCCGGCGAGAGGCUGUGUGACCGUUCCGCGCAUCUUGGAGUUCGAGCCGUGCUGAUGGGGCCGGAUCUAGUUCACUCGUAACCACCGUUGGGCCUC
rnacentral:lncRNA from 1 species